rnacentral:lncRNA from 1 species
CGCCUGCAUUCGUAAGUGAUCACGGGCUGCCCGUGUCCUGGUCAUUGGUAGUGCAGGCAGAGGAAAUGCGGGAAAGGUUGCUGUGUUUGGAGGGUCCACAUCUUCACCCUCCUGUCCCAGGAGCUUUCCUACACUCCUCCUUCUCAAAGCUGCACACACCUGGGGCCUCCAGGGGAUUGGGGGCUGCCGUGUGUGUUAUAUCAUGAUUAGAGCUUUCACUUCCUGCUCCCUGCUGUUGGGAACCAGGCUGUGUGUGUUGCUUAAAUUCCCCUUGAUGACCAGCAGAGUCACUGCCACUCAGCCAUGGCACACUGCUGUAAACCUGGUUUUGAUCUCCUUUCAAUCUUUUGCUGAUUAACUACACAUUGAUCAGUGUUGGCCACCCUCACCCUGCCAUAGACCAUCCGCUGUCUUCCUCUGUAGAGUUAACUAUUUUCUCUUUUAUGAGGAAAUAGUGUGUUUGCUUAGGAGUGUUUACUGUCUGGUAACUACUGUGCUAAGCCCUUUCCUGUUGCCUGCCAUCCCUGCUGCGAGCAGGGACAAGCUGGGUGCUCACUCAUGGCAUCUUAUCUGUUGCAGAUAGUCCACUGUGUGCAGAGGCAUGGGAGUUGUCAUGUUGGGAACAUGCUAGACCUCAGUAUCCUUGAGGUAAGAUCUCUGGUUCAUUCUCUGGAAUGUUGGUUCCUUGUAUCUAGUACAGUUCUGUACAUGUUCCCAGGGGCUUUGGGGUUGGUGUAGGGGAGCUGAGAGGUGAGAUGAGAAUGGCACUGUGGGUCCCCAGAUCCGCUGUCCACCCAGCCAACCCAGAUCACCUCUGGCCUUUCCUGUGCCUUCCGGGCUUGCUGCUGGGGGGAAACCUCCAGAGUCCCACUUUGGUAAUAAGAGGUCUCUGCCCUUUCUCCCUGGGCAGCAGGAUGUUGUAAUGGAAAAUGAGUGGACCUAGGCUUCAGAGACUCUGGUCCCCUGGCUUUGAAUCCCCUUCUGCCACUAUCCCAGUCAAGGACUGAUUCAGAACCUAAUUUUCUUCAUUUGGAAAAUAAUGUUCUGAUAGAGGUGACUUUUGUGGUACUUGAGACCAUAUGAUUCCUAUCAUUACCAACCAAUAUUUUCCGAUUGUUUUUGCCCCAUGUGACUUCUCUGUGAUUCCUCCUGGCAAGGAAGUUUUACAGGAAAGCAGGGCCACUUUUGGGAUCCUGUGCUGGGCUGGAUCAUUUUCCUGGACUGGACCUAGUCCACAAGCUGCUGGCAUCUGUUUCUCCUCAUGGAUCUCUCUCUGCCCUUGUAUACACCUGCAUUCAAAAAUGAUCACGGGCUGCCUGUGCUCUGGUCAUCAAUAACGCAGGGAGAGGAAUUGCUGAAAGCCGUUUCCCGUGUUUGGAGGGUUCACACCUGUCCCUUUCAAAUGCUGGCGCUUUCACACAC